AGUGAACGCUGGCGGUAGGCCUAACACAUGCAAGUCGAACGGCAGCACAGGAGAGCUUGCUCUCUAGGUGGCGAGUGGCGGACGGGUGAGGAAUACAUCGGAAUCUGCCCAGUCGUGGGGGAUAACGUAGGGAAACUUACGCUAAUACCGCAUACGACCUUCGGGUGAAAGAGGGGGAUCGCAAGACCUCUCGCGAUUGGAUGAGCCGAUGUCGGAUUAGCUAGUUAGCGGGGUAAUGGCCCACCAAGGCGACGAUCCGUAGCUGGUCUGAGAGGAUGAUCAGCCACACUGGAACUGAGACACGGUCCAGACUCCUACGGGAGGCAGCAGUGGGGAAUAUUGGACAAUGGGCGCAAGCCUGAUCCAGCCAUACCGCGUGGGUGAAGAAGGCCUUCGGGUUGUAAAGCCCUCUUGUUGGGAAAGAAAUCUUUCAGGCUAAUACCCUGGGAGGAUGACGGUACCCAAAGAAUAAGCACCGGCUAACUUCGUG
rnacentral:rRNA from 1 species